AACGUAAUAUUUGUGACUUUUGACUAUUUUGUAAAUAAAAUCGAUCCAUUUUAUUUGGCAUUGCUCCGAACUGAUAUUGAUUCGAAUCGCUCCUAUUAGGAAUUCUAAACCUCACAUCUGUACUCGCAAAUUAAUUCAUCUUAUAACUUCAAGAUAUAUAUUUUAAAGAUCCAAAUACCAGCUAUGAAGAACGUAUUUAUUUUAAUAGCCAUUGGAGUUGUGUUUGCUACCAUUUACAGUGGUGCUAUAGCUGAAGAUGACGGCGAUCAAGGAGAGAAUGGAAUUGAGCUCGACAUUCUCGGUCAUACUAAUCAAAGGAGGAUGAUCGAAGGCGCCUCGUGGAAAAGAAAGAAGCGUGAUAUUUUAUUCCCGAACAAUGAAGAUGAUAUUGCUCUUUUCCGUUGACUGUUUAAACAGCAAAAUCAGAAAAAUGCAACAAGGACCCAUCGUUUGUCACAUAUACAGUAAUGCUAUUGUCAUUUCAAUUUGACGAAAAUUAGAAAUUUAUUAUAUAUAUAUAUAUAAA